rnacentral:lncRNA from 1 species
AAACCUGACUCCUAAAUCUGUAUCCUACUCAGUGGACCACAAGCCUCCAUACUUACCUAAAAGCCUGAUUUGGGAAGUUAUUGUCUGGCGGCUGUAUUUGCAUGACAGCAAAUAAGGUCAACCUGCAUUGUCCAGUGUUGAGGAAAAAAUAACCUUUGGAGAAAAGGAAGGCAAAUUGCCCUGUUCUGAGUCAUCAGGAGCUGUUGUGCUGAAGGAAAGAGACGUUCUUGAGGAAAAAGUUGCUGGCACUGUUCUACUGCAAGAGAAAAGCUGCAUUAUACUGUUCCUGUGGCGGAAUAAAACAGCCUAAAGGCUUCAGCCCUUGCCCAAGUACAGAGUGCCUUCCUGUGCUUGUGUAAUGCCACACAACGUAGACUCCUGUACCUCAGUGUGAUGUGGAAGUUAGCAGAAUUCACAGCAGAGCCAAAAGGAA